CUGUAUGAAAUGAUGUUUGGAAUACCUUAUACUGGAACUGUGGGUAUGUCUAGAAUUGUACUUGAAGAUGUGUUUUUUAGAAAAUAUAUACAGGGACUGUCCCAGUGUUUUUUUCUUUUAAGGUCUGAAGGACUUUUGGCGCAAACACCACCGCUUGAUUUCCAAGUGCAUGAUUUUAAGAGUGGAGACUGAGUCCUGACAAAGCAGUGGAGAGCUUUGGGGAAGCUGAGGCCUAUCUGGGAAGGACCAUUCCAAGUACUGUUGACUACUGAGUCGGUUGUGUGGACGUGUGAGUGAGGUUGGACACAUCAUUCGUGUGUGAAGGGACUUGUGGAUCCGGUUCCUGUUUCCAGUGGAAGCAAGCUUCGGAAGGACUGGACUUUUUAUUUUCUAUUUCUUUUAGACAGUGGGGAUAGAUAAUUACAUGUCUAGUUUCGUUUAAGUUUGUGGAACUUUGAGAUGUAUCGUUGAUUAUUUGGUUGAGUGUAAUACAUGUUUUCCUUGUAUUGUUGAUUAUUUUAAGACAUGAAAUAAUAGAUUGUUGUACACAGGUAUUGUGUCCUCUGAGUGCGGAAGAAGAUAAAGAAGUGGAUGUAAGUCCCCAAAGACCAGUUGUAAGUUUUGAAGUGUAAAACUACAUACGUUAAGGUGGGUCGGGGGCCUAGUCCAUUUUUGGAUGUUUUGAAAUAAUGAUGUCU